GGUGAGCAUGUUACUACAGUGGGCCUAUUUAGAGGAGGAACAGGCUCUAAACUCAACGCCUAAGGAGAUCCUUAAGGAAGAAGCAGAGGACCAAUCAAGUGAUGCUCAAGAGGUAAGUGAGCAGGAUGAAAGUGGAGCAAACGAAAAAAUAGAACACGAAUUAAAUUACAGACGAUGAAGAUGUGAUUGAAGUAUGUGAAGAAACUCACUUAAAGAAGGGUAAAUUUGAAGGGGUAGAACCUUCUGACAAAGAUGCUGGUCGUCGUUCACAGAGGUGGGUUGCAGGUUGGACCGGCAGUGGGAGGGAGAAGGUAUGAUGCGUCGACGACUUUGGAGUAGCUGGAGGGCUUUGCUGCCGGGGGUGACGGCGGAGGUGAUGUCGGAGGUGACGUCGUUGGCGGAGGCAGUGGCCGGCUUGCAGAUCGGAGAUGCGAUGGGAGGAGCAAGAGUAUCGUGUGAACGAGAAAGCGAAAGUAG